rnacentral:misc_RNA from 1 species
AAGUCGUAACAAGGUUUCCGUAGGUGAACCUGCGGAAGGAUCAUUACCGAAGUACAGGCCCUCUCGUAGGGCUAAACUUCCACCCUUUGUUUACUAUUCUUUGUUGCUUUGGCGAGACGUCUUCGGACCACCGGCCCUCGGGCUGGUGCGCGCUCGCCAGAGGAAAAUCAAACCCAAACCUUUUUUAGUGUCGUCGGAUAACAAGUUUAAAUUAUUAAAACUUUCAACAACGGAUCUCUUGGCUCUG